GCCAAAUAGCCAUCAAAGAAUAAUGAAAUAUUUUAAACAAGAUAUCGAGGUGUUUUUAAAUCGCAACAAGGAUGGUUCUAAGUUUGUUCUGAUGGAAUUCAAAGGAAAGGGCAGACGUUGCUGUGUUGUGCGGAUUCAGUCAGCGUCAGUUUCAAUGAGGAAGGAACCAUGCCUUUCCUCUGACCAGUGUCAGUUACAUGUUCUAGAAUACUGGCCCCAUGGGAGCACGAAGAGAAAUUAAAUGAUGACUUUAACGUUAUAACUCAUUGAAAGAAAUGCUAAAUUGUGUAAAAGCUGAAACUUAGAGGAAGUAAAAAUUCUGCCAUCUACAAGAAAGCAACGAUAACCAUUUUAUAAGCACGAGACACGUUAUAAGAUGGCGCACUAGUCGUCGUACAGCCAUCAUGAAUCAAAUUAUGUCAAGAGAAAGUGGGGGGCGAUGUUGACGAGAGGUGGGCCUUUCUGGUUAAGCCUACUACUCGAAGGGUGGAGUCGGCUACGCGUGACCUACGGCCACCUGGGUUCACCACAUUGGCGAAGGAAUGUUAAAAUUCACGCACUAAGUAUAUUUGUCUGUGAUUCAAGUUUACGUCAAAGCAACUAAACUUUUUAAUCUAUUCUAAUUAAUUAAACAAACCCCUUAUUACGCGAAAUACGUAGAUGUAUAUAAAUGUAAAUUACACGUGAUAUUAUAUCAUAAUAUGUCAUUUAUGACAUUACAAAUACAUAGACGAAUUUCCAGUUAGUGAAGAUCACAGCGCACGUUUUUAGAUGCAGCACUAUGACGAACCAGAGGAACUGUAUUUUGAAAUAAAACCCGUCGGUAACAAUUCUUACUUUCGUUCAAUUAAAAACUAUAUCGUCUAUUAAUAAUAAUUUACAAUAAAGGUAUACACAUAUUUAUUUAGACCAAACAGAACGCACUCAUCGAUCAAUGUAUUUUUUGUAAUGAAAAUAUUUAUUAUUGUUAAUAAUAUAAUAUAACUUUCAUCACUGAGAAAAUCAUCAUCCGCAAAAUCUCUAAUUAUUACUAGUAAACUAUUAAUAUUAUAAAAAUAUUAUAUUAUAUAC